rnacentral:tRNA from 1 species
UGGAGUAGUGGCUCAGUGGUAAAGCACUUGUCUAGCAUGUAUGAGGCACUAGGUUUGAUUCUUAGCACUGCAA